CCUGAGUAUAUUGUUUUACUAGCAAAUAUAUUUUCUUUUGAACAGGAAUUACUAAUAGGUUUUAUCUGUACAUAGGCAUUUUUGUAUUCUUAUAUUCUACAUUUGCAAGUUUAACUAAGUACAGUAUUAUUUUUCUUGGGAUAAUCAAAAUUUCUAAUUUUCCAUUCAGUUAAAAGUGCCUUCUUUUGUAAGCUGCCCUGAGUCCCCUUCAGGGUGAGAAGGGCGGGAUAUAAAUGCAGUAAAUCAGUUAAUUAAACACUUCCUGUAGUAAAUUCUCAAAUUUGAUCAGGACGUCUGUGUUUCUGGAUGUAAAUGGUUCCGGCCCAGUCUUCCUGUCUAAAUGUAUCUUCCCCUAUGAACCAUCUUAGAGUUUAAGAUCGUCGGGGGAGGACCUGCUCUCGAUCCCACUUCCUUCGCAAGUGCGACUGAUGGGAACAAGAGACAGGGUCUUCUUAGUGUUGGCCCCCCAGCUGUGGAACUCCCUUCCUAAUGAUACUAGAUCAGCCACCUCCCUCCUAAUCUUUAGGUAGAGAGUAAAAACUUGGCUUUUGGAGCAGGCCUUUGAUAAAUAGUGCAGUGCAAAAAAUUUUAACCUGGAAAUCUUGCAAUGGAUUUUGGAAUGGCUUUAGACCUUGUCUUUGGAUGGUGUGUCUCCUAUUGGAAUGUAUUCUAAUUAUGUUUUUAUGUCUGUUUUAAUUUUAAUAAUUCUAUUCCAUGUCUGUGUUUUUAUGCUACAUAAGUGCCGUUUGUAAGCUGCCUUGAGUACCUCUUGGGGUAGGGAAAUAAAUAUGGUAAAUAAAUAUAUAAAUGAAAUAGAAUUUGUCUGGGAUUCAGAUAUUGAUUCUUAAAUUAGAUUGUAGCAGUUGGACCAUCCAGUGAAAUUGAUUAACUGAGAAAAGGAGGCACCACAUUUCAGUAUCACCAUUCAUUGUCAUAAAAUCUGGUAAUAGCUCAUGUGACUAGUCAAGAUGGCUUUCAAAGGAGUACAGGAGUGGCAUAUUGUCACUGGCAGUUUCUGGGUGUAAUAGUGGGAGAGAUUAUUAUUUUCAUGUAAUCUGGGUAACAAUUGCAGUAAAUAGGGUGCGGGGCUAAAUUGACCUUUGGUCAAAUCCAGUAAAGCUCUUACAUUUUUAUUAGUGGAAUUUGGGGCUGUUCUUUGAUUAACAGGCCUUCCCAUAUGGAAUCUUACAGGCAGCAUUUGAAACUUUAUUUCAAAAGAGUUUUCCAUGAAGACAGCUGAUUGAGAAACAUGGGUCCAGACGUGGCCAUAAAGUAGAACCAAAGCUACCGAAGAGGGUAGGAAUUCCUUCCUCUUCAUUGGUGAUUUAAUUCAGUUUCAUACUUUAUUGAAACGUUUAUUUAGUGCCCUUCAUUUUGUUUGGUUUUACAGUAAUGUACAACCUAAAAUUAAUAAAUAAAAUACAGCACUAAUGCUAAAACCGUGGUAGUGUAUUUUUCCUACUAGAUUUGUUAUAGUUAAAUAAGGUAACCCAUCCUCCAGACUCCUAGUAAAAUAAACAUCUACUACAUAUGAAAAUCCCAGAAUCUGAAAAGUUACAGAAACUGGAGCUUGGGAAUCAUCUUUGUUAAAAUCUUGAAAUGGGAAUGAAUGCCUAGUGUGCUGAAAGGGUAAUGCUCUUUCUGUUAAUUGAACUGAUUUUUUAACGUCCAGUUGUUUUACUCUUGUGCCAUUUAGUGGCUUAACCAUGGGUCACUAGUCUAGCUAUUGUAUACAAGGUAGUAUUUAAGCCAGAUUUUGAGGAACAAUUAAUUUCUCUGGCAGUCUAAAGAUUUUCUGUUAAGGCCAGCAUCAAAAAAAUUAUUCUGUGAGGUCAGAUAACAUUGUUUAGGAGUACAGACUGUUCUGUGAACAUCUUCAUGGAAUUGAGCUUUCUCCAUAAUCAGGAAAGGUCUGGAAACCAAUGAAUAUAACUCUUCCUUCUUUGAUAAGAUAAUGUUGAUUAGUGAGAAGUCAACCACAGAACAUCAACAGAUCAUAAAUUGAGAUGCCUUCCCAUUUGCCCCAGUACAUUUCUUGUUUAAUUGAAAGAGAGGUUAUCUUCAAAAAGAACUAAUAAUAAAGGAAUCAUCUAAGACACAAACCAGUGGGUGCUUCAAAUAUCUUAGUUUUCAGCGAAGCUUACUUGCAAGCAUUGGAAAUAAAGAUGGUUAAUUCCUCUAACAUAUUUUGUGUACACAUGUACAUCAUUCCAUUGAUCAAUAUAUUUUAAAUCACAGAACACAAACCGAAAGCAAUAUUUAAUCUUGGCCAAACAUGUAUGAUUUUGAUAAAUCAACAGCAUGUUUUUUCCAAUGACAUAAAUAGGAUACAUAAUCAAAUCAACCCAACAGAAAGUAACAGAAGGACUGCAACAACCUGAAGCAAAUUAACUCUCCAGUUUUUCUAUUGGACCAGUUGGUGUAUUUCCAAAAAGCACCACUUUUGGAAAUUGAGGGUGGGGGGUUAGGCUUUUCAUAUCUGGUAGAGCCUCACUAAAAACUUUGAGAAGACAAAUAUUAUGGAAUGUGAAAGAAAUGUGUCAUUCCUUUGUAGCCUAUAGUUUAUGCUAUCCUUUUGAAAGCAGUUUUGUUUUAGUUUACAGUUCUUUAAAAUAAUUUAUUGUAAAUAUACAGAAAGUAUGAUUUUUCUUCGUGUACUCUGUGAAUGCACACUAAUGGAGAGACUGCGCCUGCGUGGGCUCCAACGGAUACUCUUCCAAGCUAAAGUUUGAAAAUUUGGCGGUAACCCCGCCCCUCUCCCCGGAGGGCAUAAAAGGCCGCCCUGUGCGCUCACUCCCCAGUUCCUUUUUUUCCGCCGCAAAGCUCACAUCGGACUCUUCAUUCCUUCUUAUGUCGAUUACGCGCUUCAAGCGGUGCACUCAAUGUGCCGCUAAGAUUCCGGAUUCCGACGGCCACGCCAAGUGUCCCCUCUGCCUUGGCGAAAGCCACGUCGUCGGUACCUGCCGGAUCUGCCUGGCCUUUAUGGCCCAAGCACGGAGAAAUAGGGCUGCUAGACUUCGAGCAGCCCUCUACGAAAGAUCUCUUGCUCCUGAGCCGGCUACCCCCACAUCGACCUCGAUGGUGGCAAGGCCUACAAAACCCGCAUCGGUCUCCUCCAAAACCUCCAAAACUUCGAAGGGAAGACCUUCGAAACCGCCUUGCACGGUUACUACGGCCACUGUAUCGACCCGGUUCAGAAAGGUGGGCCCAUUGUCGACCUCAAGCUCCCUGGCCUCAGUAGUCUCUACCCGAUCCCGUAUCGCUUCACCAUCCUCGUUUUCUGCAAUGAAGAUUGCCUUCAAAAGGGCGCAGGAAGAAUCCCGUCGAGCCCAGUCCGACUCGGCAGCAAUUUGCCCUGUUCCACCGACCCCGGGAAAAUCCAUGAGGGUUCCGUCCAAACAGCCUCCGGCUAAGAGGUGCAUGACCCAACGUUCAUCCUCCUCCGCUUCUUCGAGGAAAGAUGUCCCCUCCUCAUCGGCUGCCUCCUUGAGGAGAUCCUCUCUGAUCCAACCGGCACAAUGCCCACGAUCUCCCUCCCGGUCCCCACCUACCCGUUCUUCUGAUGGCGGCACUCAAGCUUCACCCAAUCGCUCAACCCGCACAGUAAUCAAAGUUCCCCAGCCUGUACCUUCUCGACAACAGGCUCGACAAGAACUCUUUCCCCCUCAAACCCCGGAAAGGGGAAGACAGACGACUCGCCUCGCUCGAGCCGUUCAGGCCUCCGCUUCUAAGGAUAAUCGGCCACAGACUUCUGCUGCUCUUGAGGCGAUACCCCCUCCAGAGACUGUGCUUUCCUCUCCCCCUCGGUCCCCUCAAGGGGCCGAGGAGGAUGAGCUCGACGUCGAGCACCCGGAAUCGAUUCUGUCAGCAUCAGUCGUCUCUUUGGGACUCGACCUGUCCCCACCCCAUGACGCUUACAAGGUCGAUCCGCCAUCUCCCACAGACAACAUUCGGGCCUUCUCUGACCAAAUGGUCAGAAUGGCAGACGCUCUGGGGAUGGAGAUUAAACAACCUUCAAAAGCCGUCACCGACCCUGUAUUCAAGAGGGUCCAGGCUCAGGCUCCCCCAGCCACACUCUUAUCUUUCGUUCCUUAUUUACUGGACAUCAUCCAGGCCUCCUGGAAGACCCCGUCUUCGAUACCUCCAACCUCUAAAAAGAUCGAGACGUGGUACUGCACGGACGACGAAGCCCUAGAAUGGCUCAAACAUUACCCCGACCCGAACUCGAUGGUGGUUAAAUCCUCCCAAUCUUCGGGCCAACAGUCUAACUCUCCGGCCGACAGAGAGGGAAAGAGGUUUGACGCAGUGGGCCGAAAACUAUUCCGGCGCGCUUCUGUUGUGUUGAAUGGCAAAUUAUGGUGCCUGCAUGGGGGCAUAUCAACAAAUCCUCUAGGAAAAGGCCCAGCCCUUUUUCACCAAACUCUCUGAUGAAGACCGUUCCGUCCUCUCGACCCUCCAGCAGGAGGCGGACUCCCUAGCUCACCAUCAGAUUCAGAUGGCAAAGCAUACAGGCGAUACUGCCGGCAAGAUGAUUGCUCAUGCUGUGGCGAUCAGAUGACAUGCUUGGCUUAGAGCCUCGGGCCUCUCCUCGUCUUCUUGACAAGUAAUCGAAGACCUGCCUUUCGAUGCCCUCAGCCUAUUUAACAUGGGGACUGACGAUAAACUGAAAUCCAAUCAUGAUUUCAGAAUCCUCGCUUCGAAGUGUGGGACCAACCAUCCUCACGCUGAACGAACCCGUUGGUUUCUCCAGACGUACCGCCGCUUCCCUCCUCAGCCUUUCCGCCACCAAACCUUCAGGUGCUCCUCCAGCUCCAGCCAAAAAGGCCAGCAGCAACAGCCCCGCUGUCAACACCAGGCCUCUAAGACUAGGGGUUGCGGUACCGCCACUACUCCCCAUACCCAACGUCGAGCCUGACGCCCAGUCUCUCACUGCCACCUCCUCUGAUACCGCUGCCAUCACCAUGCCUCCUGUGAACUUUGGUCCGAAACUUCCCCCCUGCCACUUCCGGGACCGUCUAGCUUCCUUCUACCACAAAUGGGCGUCUAUCACCUCAGAUGCCUGGGUUCUCCGCAUUGUCUGAGAUGGCUACACCUUGGAGUUCGAAAGCCUUCCUCCCACAGGCCACGUCCUCUCUACCGAUCCGUCGCCAGAGAUCUCCGCUGAGGUCGACUCCCUCCUGGCCAAGGGUGCUAUCCAACCAUCUCUGUCCGAGCAGGACGUUCGAGGUUUUUUUCUCAAGAUACUUCACUGUUCCCAAAAAGGGUGGAGAGCUUCGCCCCAUCCUGGACUUACGAGCUCUGAACCUUUUCAUUCUUCCUUCAAAGUUUCGAAUGGUCUCUAUCGCCUCCAUCCUUCCGAUGCUCCAACGAGGAGAUUAUUUCGCCUCUAUAGACUUAAGGGACGCCUAUUUCCACGUGGCAAUACGUCGCUCCCACAGACGUUUCCUCUCUUUCAAAAUCCUCGGUCAAUCUUACCAGUUUGCAGUUCUCCCUUUCGGCCUGGUCACUGCUUCUCAAGUCUUCACCAAGGUGGUCGCAGUGGUGGCGGCCCACCUGAGGAUACAAGGCAUCAUGGUUUUUCUUUACCUGGACGAUUGGAUGAUUGUCGCUCCCGAUCCUUCAUCCUUACAAGACCAUGUUUCUCGCACUCUGUCCCUGCCCCGCUUGCUCGGACUUCAGCUGAACACCGAAAAGUCAUAUCUAACCCCGUCCAACAAGAUUUGCUUCAUCGGGGCUCUCUUCAGUUCCCUCACACAAACAGCCUCCCUGCCGUCAGACAGAUUCCUGGCCCUCCAACAGCAUCUGCUCCUCCUCCUGCGCAACCGCAGGGUUUGAGCCCACUCCGUUCAAGUCCUCCUAGGCCACAUGGCCUCCACCGUCAGGGUCACUCCUUUCGCCAGGCUUCGUCUCAGACCUCUCCAGAGAUGGUUUAUAGACUCUUUCAAACCCCUUCUGCAUCCUAGCUCCAUGUUUCUCACGGUACCAAACUGGGUCCGUCUUUCUCUUCGAUAGUGGCAGAACCCAUCGAACAUCUGCAGGGGUCUGCCUUUUCACCCUCCACUUCCGUCGAUCACAAUCACGACCGACGCGUCCAACUUCGCAUGGGAAGCUCACAUGGCUGAUCUCACAGUCCGGGAUCUCUGGUCACCUCAAGAGAGGUCUCAGCACAUAAAUCUUCUAGAACUGUUGGCAGUCUUCAAAGCUCUCCGAGCCUUUGCUCGCCUUCUUCCCCACAAGACAGUGCAAAUCCAGACAGACAAUGCCGUGGCUAUGUAUUACAUCAACAAGCAGGGAGGCAUGGGCUCGAGGAAGCUGAUGUCCGUCUUGUCGGAAAUCUGGCUAUGGUGCAUAGCAAGAGACAUAUCCCUCAGCAGUCCAUCUGCCGGGCACCCAGAACACUCUGGCGGACGCCCUCAGCAGGAUUGCGACCUCCCCCCAUGAGUGGCGUCUCAAUCCUGAGACCCUGCAUUCUGUCUUCGACGAGUGGGGAUGGCCAACCCCGGAUCUCUUUGCCUCCCCCUCCAACACACACCUUCCCUGCUUUGGGGCAAGACUUUCUCCAAAUGUGGCUCCGGGCUGUCUCGGAGACGCUUUUCUCCUGGACUGGUCAGCAGAACCCAUGUACCUUUUUCCUCCUUUCCCUCUGAUCCCGAGGGUACUAGAGAGACUUCUUCUGAUGCCGGCAUCAGCUAUCCUAAUAGCCCCCGCUUGGCCCUGCCAGCCAUGGUACCCAACUCUCCUGCAGAUGUGCGCAGGAAUCUUCCGUACCCUCCCGACAGUCCCUCAUCUCCUAACCUCACAGAACGGAUAAGUUCUCCACCCUGACAUCCCGUCCCUACACCUGACAGCGUGGAGGAUCCUUCCCUGAGCUCUUUCCACCCGGACCUCCAAACAAUCCUCCGGGCGGCCAAUAAGCCGGCCAGGUCAAAGGCUUACGCAUAUAAAAUUGCGAAGUUCCAAGCCUUCCUUCGGGACCGUUCCAUCGAUCCCACCUCUACUUUGGUCCCGUUGGUCCUGGACUUUCUUCUCUCUCUUGCAGACUGACAUUUAUCCUUAGCCUCAAUGAAGUCUUACCUGGCUGCCCUCUCCUGGCAUUUCCAGCGUCUUGGACAACCUUCUCUGUUUUCUAGUCACCUUGUGAAGACUUUUCUUCGGGGCUACAACAACCUUCGGCCUCCAGUUCAUCCCCCGACCCCUGGUUGGAGCCUCAAACUUGUCCUGUCUCAACUAACUUCGGCACCGUUUGAGCCAGUGGCUUCCGCCGAUCUCCACAUUCUCUCUUGGAAAGUUGCAUUUCUAGUAGCAGUCACCUCUGCCCAAAGACCGUCUGAACUGGCUACCCUUAGAGUUGAUGAACCUUACCGGUCACCACGACCGGGCUGUUCUUCGCCAUCACUUUCCUUCCCAAGGUGGUGUCUGCUUUCCAUCUUAAUCAGGACAUCGUCCUCCCUGCCUUCUUCCCCAACCCGACUUCCAGGCUUGAACGGAGGCUUCACCUUCUUGAUGUAAGAAGGGCCCUCCUUUUCUACAGGGACAGGACCAAACAUACACGUAAGACUCCUAGACUCUUUGUCGCAUAUGCUGCAGACAAACUUGGAAACCCGAUUUCUCUACAGAGACUAUCCCAUUGGAUUGCUCAUACCAUUGAACUGGCUUAUGAACUGGCUAAGUACCUUCCCCCUCCGUCGAUCCGCCCACGGUCGACAAGGGGACUUUCAGCCUCCACUGCCUUCUUGAGAGGCAUUUCCCUCGACUCCAUUUGUCGGGCAGUGAUUUGGUCCACCCCUUCUAUCUUUGUGUCCCACUUAGAUGGACUCUAAGAACCUCAGGGACUCGGCCUUCGCCAGGUCAAUUCUGUCCUGCUUUUCAUAGCAUUUCUUCCCUAUUCAAAGUGAGGUUUACUGCCUUUUAUGUGUUUCGAGGGUUCAUGCCACUUUAUUGAAGUGUCUUUCUGCCUUUCUAGUGUGUUUAUGUAACACCUACUUGCCCAACAUCUUUUCUUCCUGUGUGGGCUGUUUCACCUUGCAGUUUGUAUUUUGCUGUUAAAUACCAAAUUGCUGUACCUUCGUUACUGGUAGCAUUAGUACGGUUUUUUCACCGUACCUUUCUUCUUGGGGAUCAUGUUGUAACUUACUUUUCUCUCCCUAUGGGAGUUAUGCAUACCAUGUUAAUUUUGAACUUCUUUCCUGAUACCGAGUAUCAUCGUAUGACGAUAUACCGUGACCGCUUGAUAGGUCUUUGUUGUUACCGGGUCGUUCUUUUCGACCUUUUUCCUCUUGCACUUGUUUUUUUGCAUUUUAUGCCUUAAUAAAACUAUUGGAUUUUGGACAUUCAACUCGCUGUCGGGUUUGCUCUGUCCCACCAUCCUAUAACUCAGCUUGCUAGUCUCCAUUAGUGUGCAUUCAGAGUACACGAAGAAAAAGGACAGGUUGCUUACCUGUAACCAUGUUUCUUCGAGUGUACUCUGUGAAUUCACACAAUCCCACCCUUCCUUCUCCACGUGCAAACCUCUCCCAUUCUCGUCGCCUUUGUAGCGCAGGAACUGGGGAGUGAGUGCACAGGGCGGCUUUUUAUGCCCUCCGGGGAGAGGGGCGGGGUUACCGCCAAAUUUUCAAACUUUAGCUUGGAAGAGUAUCCGUUGGAUCCCGCCCAGGCGCAGUCUCUCCAUUAAUGUGAAUUCACAGAGUACACUCGAAGAAACAUGGUUACAGGUAAGCAACCUUUCCUUUCUGCAUCGAGAAUUUUUUUAAAAAAAGCUAUAUAGCACAGUGCUGCAAUAUUGUAUCCUUACAAAAUCAGUCUGCUUUUAUUUUUUUCAAUGAGCAAAGACUAAUUUCCUGCUUUUUUGUUGCAGAAUAUAUACAUGUAUCUAUAGUUUGUGAAGUGAAGACUAAUUUCAGUUAAAGUUACAGAAGUUAAAACAUUGGAUGUGCAGCUAUAACUAUGAGUAGCAAUUGAAAAGGGUUGCAAGGCACCAGUGAUGUAGUAUAGUCAUUCAUCACAACAGUCCUAACAACCUGGUCCCAAGAAGAGUCUCAAAAUGCAGGCAUCUUUUGAUCCAUGUAAAUCAGAGUUUUCUCUUAGUUUUCAUUUCCACCAGGAGCAAGUAUUUUAUAAAGCUAAUGGAAUUUAUCUUGAUGCUGUUUAAGACCAAGCCUUUCCUUAAAUCCUUAACAUUACAACAGGGACAACUGGCAAAACCAUGUUGUUGGGGAAAAUCCACCUGCUCCAUGCACCCUACCGUGACCAUUGCAGUCAAAUAUAGAAGUAACAGGGAGUGAGAGAGAAGUGGCAGAUUUUAUUGAUAUUGUAUUAGCUUUGCAUCAUUAUUAUCAGUUACAAGAACAAUAUCCAGCAUGUUGUCAAGGCAGAACUAGUGAAGUAUCCUGAAGAAGAUAAUCAACAGGACAGCACUGCCAGCUGUCAAAGUAA